rnacentral:rRNA from 1 species
UACGAAGGGGGCUAGCGUUGUUCGGAAUUACUGGGCGUAAAGCGCACGUAGGCGGUUUGUUAAGUCAGGGGGGAAAUCCUGGAGCUCAACUCCAGAACUGCCUUUGAUACUGGCAACCUAGAGACUGGAAGAGGUUAGUGGAAUUCCCAGUGUAGAGGUGAAAUUCGUAGAUAUUGGGAAGAACACCAGUGGCGAAGGCGGCUAACUGGUCCAGCACUGACGCUGAGGUGCGAAAGCGUGGGGAGCAAACAGG